AUUGAACGCUGGCGGCAGGCCUAACACAUGCAAGUCGAGCGAGCGGCGGCCGGGUGCGUAAUGUCUGGGAAACUGCCUGAUGGGGGGGGAUAACUACUGGGAACGGUAGCUAAUACCGCAUACCCUCAGAUGUGCCCAUAUGGGAUUAGCUAGUCGGUGGGGUAACGGCUCACCUAGGCGACGAUCCCUAGCUGGUCUGGGAGGAUGACCAGGCAAACUGGAACUGAGACACGGUCCAGACUCCUACGGGAGGCAGCAGGGGGGAAUAUUGCACAAUGGGCGCAAGCCUGAUGCAGCCAUGCCGCGUGUGUGAAGAAGGCCUUCGGGUUGUAAAGCACUUUCAGCGGGGAGGCGUUACCCGCAGAAGAAGCACCGGCUAACUCCGUGCCAGCAGCCGCGGUAAUUC
rnacentral:rRNA from 1 species